rnacentral:rRNA from 1 species
UAGCAUAAUCAUUAGUUUUUUAAUUGAAAACUUGUAUGAAAGGUUGAACAAAAGAAGUUCUGUCUCUAUUUUUAAUAUUGAAUUUAACUUUUAAGUGAAAAGGCUUAAAUUUUUUAAGGGGACGAUAAGACCCUAUAAAGCUUUAUAAAAAAUAUAAUAAUUUCUAAAAAUAAUUUGUAUUAUGAAUAUAUUUUUUUUUAUUUUAUUGGGGCGAUUCGGAUAAAAUUAUAAUUAACUGUCAGUAUGAGAUACAUAAAUUUAUGUAAAUUUAAAUGAUCCUAAUUAAAGAUUAAAAGACAAAGUUACUUUAGGGAUAACAGCGUUAUUUCUUUUAAGAGUUCUUAUUGAAAAAGAAGUUUGCGACCUCGAUGUUGAAUUAAAAUAUCUUUACAGUGCAGUCGUUGUAAGAAGA